CCUACGGGGGGCUGCAGUGGGGAAUUUUGGACAAUGGACGGAAGUCUGAUCCAGCGACGCCGCGUGAAGGAAGAAGUCCUUCGGGAUGUAAACUUCUGAACUUAUCGAAUAAAGACAACUGGGGACAGUUGGAUGAAGGUAGAUAAAGAAAAGCCCCGGCUAACUACGUGCCAGCAGCCGCGGUAAGACGUAGGGGGCGAGCGUUGCCCGGAAUUACUGGGCGUAAAGGGGGCGUAGGCGGUCAAAUAAGUCAGAUGUGAAAUACUACUGCUCAACGGUAGAAAUGCGUUUGAAACUGUAAGACUUGAGGGUACCAAAGGUAGACGGAAUUACCUGAGUAGGGGUGAAAUCCGUAGAUACAGGUAAGAACGCCAGUGGGGAAGCCGGUCUACUGGGGUAACCCUGACGCUGAGGCCCGAAAGCUAGGGGAGCGAACCGGCUUAGAUACCCCAGUAGUC
rnacentral:rRNA from 1 species